GUGCAGCAGGCGAGAAACCUCCGCAAUGCUCGAAAGAGCGACGGGGGACUCCAAGUGCCUACGCUCAGCGUAGGCUGUUCCCGAGCCUAAAAAGCUCGGGGAGUAAGGGCUGGGUAAGACGGGUGCCAGCCGCCGCGGUAAUACCCGCAGCCCGAGGUGGUGGCCGCUAUUAUUGGGCCUAAAGCGUCCGUAGCCGGCUCGGUAAACUGCCUGGGGUAAAUCGUUCUGGCCCAACCAGACGAAUUCCGGGUAGACUGCCGGGCUA
rnacentral:rRNA from 1 species